UACUUAAUCCCCCAACAUCUAUAACUACGACGUUAUUGAAACUUAACCAACACUUAUAAAUAUGCAAUAGAACAAAGAAUACUCUUGAACUCUUAGUGAAAUACAUAAUAUAACCCUGGUUAUAUCGAAUACGUGGUAAUGACAAGCACUUGUAGAAAAUUAUUUGAUCGAUUUCGAUCGAGCCUAAAUUCAAUCAGCGCGAGGCACUUGCACUGGUCUCGUCGAGCAUAAGAUGAUGAAGCAGCACCGUUGGAACGAGUGGAGGAGGACGUAGUGAGGAGGAGUGGAAAAUGGAGAACAUCUGAGCGAGGAAGAGUGCCAGAUAAUGCGACUAGUAGGCCCAAAGGAAACCUCGUUGGCCAAUUGGGGUGGAGACAGACCCAGGCAGAGAGCCAAACUGAAACUAUCGGAGGCCUGACCAACCAAUGGCAGUUCAGUACGGAAUCGAAGCCUAGUGCAGAGGGGGACCACGGGAAGGGGAAAGCACCAGGCCAGGACAAUGCGGCGCGCAAUGCAUUUGGCAACAUGUCAAGCAGUCCAGGAAGGAGCACACUCACUCACACGCUCUACGGGGAUUGGUGCAAGUCGUCCAAGUAAUUCUCUGGCCUGCCUCGCUCACAUGCGCAUGGAAAGUUCUUUAAGUAAUAUAUCAACCAUACGCCUGUUGGCCAGGCACCGAGUCCUUGCCGCCACGUCCGUGCCAGUGUGUGUGUGUGUGAGUGUGCCGAGGGCCACGAGGCUUGCCAACUGCAUUGCAGGCCCGUUGCGAUUUAACUUGUGCCCGUGGCGAGCCCCGACCCGAGGACUCCCACCCAUCCAUCCCCAACACAAACGAUGAGUCCUUUGCAAGCAGCGCAUUGGCUGCAGGACGACUGGCGACAGGACGACCAAUCGCAGCACCGCUUGUGCGCACUAUCCCGGCCGCCCUGCAGGCCCCCCGGCACGAGUCGCGGGAACAGGACCAGUCAGAAGACUCAAGCUGAUUGCACUAUCCAACUUUUAAACGAUAUACUUAGUUACAUAUUACAUAAUAUAUGUAGUUCUUUAGUCGUAAGUCACAUGCCCAAGCCUACGCCCCCGAAACACCAUCUGCACGGGGGGCGUGAAAAAUUAGUUUAUGUAUAUCUUAGAGUUUCAAGCAACAUAUAUAAAAAAAUAAUGAAGAUUUCAAGAAUGCGUAAGAAAAAAAGGAAUAAAACCGGUAAAGCUCCAGAGCGGCAAACCAAAA